rnacentral:rRNA from 1 species
CACGUAGGGCGCAAGCGUUGUCCGGAAUUAUUGGGCGUAAAGAGCUCGUAGGCGGUCUGUUACGUCUGCUGUGAAAACCCAGGGCUUAACCCUGGGCUUGCAGUGGAUACGGGCAGACUAGAGGCAGGUAGGGGAGAAUGGAAUUCCCGGUGUAGCGGUGAAAUGCGCAGAUAUCGGGAGGAACACCGGUGGCGAAGGCGGUUCUCUGGGCCUGACCUGACGCUGAGAAGCGAAAGCAUGGGGAGCGAACAGG